rnacentral:rRNA from 1 species
CGGAGGAUCCAAGCGUUGUCCGGAUUUAUUGGGUUUAAAGGUGCGUAGGCGGAUCUUUAAGUCAGUGGUGAAAUCCUGCAGCUUAACUGUAGAACAGCCAUUGAAACUGAGGAUCUUGAAUUUGGUUAAAGUAGGCGGAAUGUAUCAUGUAGCGGUGAAAUGCUUAGAUAUGAUACAGAACACCGAUAGCGAAGGCAGCUUGCUGAACCAAUAUUGACGCUGAGGCACGAAAGCGUGGGGAGCGAACAGGAUUAGAUACCCUGGUAGUCCACGCCCUAAACGUUGAUUACUCGUUGUUGGCGAUAUACUGUCAGCGACCAAGCUAAAGCGUUAAGUAAUCCACCUGGGAAGUACGACCGCAAGGUUGA